rnacentral:rRNA from 1 species
UACCUUUCGGUACGGAAAACAGUUGGAAACGACUGCUAAUACCGUAUACGCCCUGAGGGGGAAAGAUUUAUCGCCGAGAGAUUGGCCCGCGUUGGAUUAGCUAGUUGGUGGGGUAAUGGCCUACCAAGGCGACGAUCCAUAGCUGGUCUGAGAGGAUGAUCAGCCACACUGGGACUGAGACACGGCCCAGACUCCUACGGGAGGCAGCAGUGGGGAAUAUUGGACAAUGGGCGCAAGCCUGAUCCAGCCAUGCCGCGUGAGUGAUGAAGGCCCUAGGGUUGUAAAGCUCUUUCGCCGGUGAAGAUAAUGACGGUAACCGGUAAAGAAGCCCCGGCUAACUUCGUGCCAGCAGCCGCGGUAAUACGAAGGGGGCUAGCGUUGUUCGGAAUUACUGGGCGUAAAGCGCACGUAGGCUGACUUUUAAGUCAGGGGUGAAAUCCCGGGGCUCAACCUCGGAACUGCCUUUGAUACUGGAAGUCUUGAGUCCGAGAGAGGUGAGUGGAACUCCGAGUGUAGAGGUGAAAUUCGUAGAUAUUCGGAAGAACACCAGUGGCGAAGGCGGCUCACUGGCUCGGUACUGACGCUGAGGUGCGAAAGCGUGGGGAGCAACAGGAUUAGAUACCCUGGUACUCCACGCCGUAAACGAUGGAAGCUAGCUGUCAGGUAGCAUGCUAUUUGGUGGCGCAGCUAACGCAAUAAGCUUCCCGCCUGGGGGAGUACGGUCGCAAGAUUAAAACUUCAAGGAAUUGACGGGGCCCCGCACAACCGGGGGAGCAUGUGGGUUUAAUUCCAAGCAACGCGCACAAUGCUUACCAAGCCCUUGACAUGUGCGGGCACACACCAGAGAUGGUGUAUUCUCUUUCGGGGACCGAAACCAAAAGGUGCUGCAUGGGCGUGUCG